GUGCUCGCUUCGGCAACACAUAUAAUAAAAUUGGAACGAUACAGAGAAGAUUAGCAUGGCGCCCCGCAAGGAUGACACGCAAAUUCAUGAAACGUUCCAUAUUUUU